rnacentral:piRNA from 1 species
UGUGCAUGAAUUGAUCUGAAA